UUCCACCCAGAGGGAUUAUAAUUUAUUUUCAUUGCAGAUAUCAUGAAGAUGUCACAGAGUGAAAACUACUUCCAAAUGGAUGGAACCCAUAUCUGCUGAACACUGCCCUUGGCUUCAUUCUAUGUGCUGACCAGCAGACACCCUUUGCUUUGAACUGAGAUAUGUCACUGAUUUAAAGCUGCUGACAAGGUCUCAACUGUGCAAGCCUCUUUCCUCACAGCUCUAGGAACCCUGAAGAAGAAAAGAAGAAGGAGGAGGAGGAGGAGGGAGAGGAGGAGGAGGAGGAGGAG
rnacentral:lncRNA from 1 species